UUCCUCUCGAGUCUGAAUUGAUUCCAAGCUCUCUUUUAGAGUUAAUGCUUCCAGAAGAAUUACUAUGUGCUGAGCACUGUGCUCAGCACUCAACCUGUAUUAGCUUAUUUUAUCUUCACAACACACUGUGGGUAUGUAUUAUCACUGUUCCAUUUUUUUGUCGGGGAGGGUACCAGGGAUUGAACUCAGGGGCACCCGAUCACUGAGCCACAUCUCAGCCCUAUUUUGUAUGUAUUUAGAGGCAAGGUCUCACUGAGUUGCUUAGUGCCUUGCUUUUGCUGAGACUGGCUUUGAACUUGUGAUCCUCCUGCCUCAGCCUUCCAAGCUGUUGGGAUUACAGGCAUGUGCCUCUGUAUCCUGCGCUAUUCCAUUUUAAAGAUGAGAAAAUUGAGGCUUGGAGAAGUAAAACCGCUUGCUCAGAAUUAGUGACAGAGCUGAACUGACCUCAGGCCUGAGAGCCACACCAGCCUGGAUUCUUAACCAGAGCACUUGGUGUGAGGUCUUUGGAAUUUGGUGGCUGCUCCUUGGGUUUUGUAACUUGGACAGGCGUGGUGAGGCCCCAGCUCUGGGAAGUCAGUGCUGACAGGAAAAAGGACCAGAGAGAAACAGGCACUGAAGGACAAGGCCGGUGGAGACCAACAGGUAGUCCAGGUCAAGUUUAUAAAGGGCAGUCAAGGUCUACUGAACCCAACCAGGGCUGGGUCAGGAAAGAGGCUUGGCCUAGGGCUAGGAGGAGGUCUUCUUCCUGAGGGAAGAGUGCUUUUCCACAUUGGGAACCUUUUUACCUGCCCUCUACUCACCAGGAGCCCUGCAGCAGAUGAGGGGUGGCCGUGGAAGCAGGAGGUGGCCUUGGGGAGGUGUGGGUCCCGAUCGUUUGUCACUUCUAUUUCCUGCCUUUCUCUUUUCUGUUCGGCAUUGUAGAGGGCAAAUGACAAACGUCAGGCCCCCUUGCCAACUGGCUUUUGACUAGAUUGACCCAGGAAGAGGUGCUAGAGGAAGAUGGGGGCAGGAGAAAAGAGGUCUGGAUAUUUCUCCCCUUCCCCAGCCUUGGUGGCGUCUCUGGCUCUGGCUCCCACUGGGAAGCCCUACUCCUGAGCUUUUGACCCACCACCUCCUCCCUUUGUUUUUCCAGACAUGGG
rnacentral:lncRNA from 1 species